rnacentral:rRNA from 1 species
UACGAAGGGUGCAAGCGUUAAUCGGAAUUACUGGGCGUAAAGGGUGCGUAGGCGGUUCGUUAAGUCUGUCGUGAAAUCCCCGGGCUCAACCUGGGAAUGGCAAUGGAUACUGGCAAGCUAGAGUGUGUCAGAGGAUGGUGGAAUUCCCGGUGUAGCGGUGAAAUGCGUAGAGAUCGGGAGGAACAUCAGUGGCGAAGGCGGCCAUCUGGGACAACACUGACGCUGAGGCACGAAAGCGUGGGGAGCAAACAGG